UACGAAGGGGGCUAGCGUUGCUCGGAAUCACUGGGCGUAAAGCGCACGUAGGCGGAUCUUUAAGUCAGGGGUGAAAUCCCAAGGCUCAACCUUGGAACUGCCUUUGAUACUGGGGAUCUCGAGUCCGGAAGAGGUGAGUGGAACUGCGAGUGUAGAGGUGAAAUUCGUAGAUAUUCGCAAGAACACCAGUGGCGAAGGCGGCUCUCUGGAACGGUACUGACGCUGAGACGCGAAAGCGUGGGGAGCGAACAGG
rnacentral:rRNA from 1 species